GACGAACGCUGGCGGCGUGCUUAACACAUGCAAGUCGAACGGAAAGGCCCUGCUUUUGUGGGGUGCUCGAGUGGCGAACGGGUGAGUAACACGUGAGUAACCUGCCCUUGACUUUGGGAUAACUUCAGGAAACUGGGGCUAAUACCGGAUAGGAGCUCCUGCUGCAUGGUGGGGGUUGGAAAGUUUCGGCGGUUGGGGAUGGACUCGCGGCUUAUCAGCUUGUUGGUUGGGUAGUGGCUUACCAAGGCUUUGACGGGUAGCCGGCCUGAGAGGGUGAACGGCCACAUUGGGACUGAGAGACGGACCAGACGCCUACGGGAGGCAGCAGUGGGGAAUAUUGCACAAUGGGCGGAAGCCUGAUGCAGCAACGCCGCGUGCGGGAUGACGGCCUUCGGGUUGUAAACCGCUUUAGCCUGUGACGAAGCGUGAGUGACGGUAAUGGGUAAAGAAGCACCGGCUAACUACGUG
rnacentral:rRNA from 1 species